GUCUACAGCCAUGCCACCCUAAACAAAACCAAUCUCGUCUGAUCUUGGAAGCUAAGCACGGUUGAUCCUGGUUAGUACUUAGAUGGGAGACAACCUAGGAAGACCAGGUGCUUGAGACC
rnacentral:rRNA from 1 species